GACGAACGCUGGCGGCGUGCUUAACACAUGCAAGUCGAACGGAAAGGCCCUGCUUGCAGGGUGCUCGAGUGGCGAACGGGUGAGUAACACGUGGGUGAUCUGCCCCUUACUUUGGGAUAAGCCUGGGAAACUGGGUCUAAUACUGGAUAGGACCAUGCUGUAGGUGGUGUGGUGGAAAGAUUAGUUUCGGUAAGGGAUGAGCUCGCGGCCUAUCAGCUUGUUGGUGGGGUAAUGGCCUACCAAGGCGUCGACGGGUAGCCGGCCUGAGAGGGUGGACGGCCACAUUGGGACUGAGCUACGGCCCAGACUCCUACGGGAGGCAGCAGUGGGGAAUAUUGCACAAUGGGCGCAAGCCUGAUGCCGCGACGCCGCGUGGGGGAUGACGGCCUUCGGGUUGUAAACUCCUUUCAGCCAUGACGAAGCCCUUGUGGUGACGGUAGUGGUAAAAGAAGCACCGGCUAACUACGUG
rnacentral:rRNA from 1 species